rnacentral:rRNA from 1 species
GUUAAUUGAAUUUAAUUUAAUAAAAUCAAUUUUAAUUAAUUUGUGGUUUUUGUAUAUGGUAUAAAUAAAAUUUUAAUAAUAAUAGUUAAUUAGUAUAGUGAUAGAUAAUUGAAAUAAUUUGAAAAAUUUUUUUAUUAUAAGUAUAAUUUAUUUUUUGUACCUUGUGUAUCAGGGUUUAUUAAUUAAAAAUUAUUUAUAUAUAUUUUUCUCGAUUUUAAGAGAUCUAAUAAAUUAUAUUAGUUAUUGUGGCAUAAUUAUUAAAAAUAAUUUAUUAGCAAUGAAAUGUUAUUCGUUCUUAAAUAUAUCUAGUUUUUUAAGAAAUGAAUUAAAUUCAGAUAUUAAAUUUUAUUAAUUUAUUUAUUUAUAUUUAUAAUAUUAUUUUAAUUUAAUAUAAAUAUUUUAUGGGAUUAGCUUUAAAAUAUAAACUAUAAAUUUAUUAUUAUUUAAAAAGAAUUAUAGUCUUGGAAAUAGAUAUUAAUUAAAUUAUGUUAUAAUUUAUUUUUUUUAUUAUAUAAUUUUUUUUGUUUUAGGUUUUUAUUAAAAUAUUUUUAUAAAUAAUAAUUAAUUUGUAAUAAUGAUAAAAUUAGUAUAAAUUAUUGUUAUAAAUUAUUUUAAUUUUUAGUUUAAUUUAAGGAAUUCGGCAAAUUUAAAUACUCGCCUGUUUAUCAAAAACAUGUCCUUUUGAAUUUAAUUUAAGGUCUAAUCUGCCCAGUGAUUUAUUAAAUGGCCGCGGUAUUUUGACCGUGCAAAGGUAGCAUAAUCAUUAGUCUUUUAAUUGAGGGCUAGAAUGAAUGAUUGAACGAAGUAUUGACUGUCUCAUUUUAAUAAUUAUUAGAAUUUAAUUUUUGAGUUAAAAAGCUUAAAUUUAAUUAAAGGACGAGAAGACCCUAUAGAGCUUUAUAUAAUUAUUUAUAAACCUUUUUUAGUUUUAUUUUAGGAUUAUAUAUAAUUUUAUUUUAUUGGGGUGAUAAGAAGAUUAAAAUAACUCUUUUUUUUUUUUACAUUGAUUUAUGAAUUUUUGAUCCUAUAUUAUAGAUUAUAAGACUAAGUUACCUUAGGGAUAACAGCGUAAUUAUUUUUAAGAGUUCUUAUCGACAAAAUAGAUUGCGACCUCGAUGUUGGAUUAAGAGUUAAUUUUGGGUGUAGAAGUUCAAAUUUUAGGUCUGUUCGACCUUUAAAUUCUUACAUGAUCUGAGUUCAGACCGGCGUAAGCCAGGUCGGUUUCUAUCCUUAAUUAUAAAAAAAUGUUUUAGUACGAAAGGACCAAGUAUUUAGAAUAUAUUCUUAUUUAUUGAUUAUUAUUAAUUAU